rnacentral:rRNA from 1 species
GUAUCCUGUCUGAAUAUGGGGGGACCAUCCUCCAAGGCUAAAUACUCCUGACUGACCGAUAGUGAACCAGUACCGUGAGGGAAAGGCGAAAAGAACCCCGGCGAGGGGAGUGAAAAAGAACCUGAAACCGUGUACGUACAAGCAGUGGGAGCCCCACCACCAAAGCAUUCUCUGGUGUUGAAGGCCCUGCAAAGCAGCAUCGCGGUGGCGGAGCGUCGUUUGCGACGCCCAACACAUAAAACAAGCGGUGAGUGCUUUGGGGUGGGGUGACUGCGUACCUUUUGUAUAAUGGGUCAGCGACUUAUAUUCUGUAGCAAGGUUAACCGAAUAGGGGAGCCGCAGGGAAACCGAGUCUUAAUUGGGCGUUAAGUUGCAGGGUAUAGACCCGAAACCCGGUGAUCUAGCCAUGGGCAGGUUGAAGGUUGGGUAACACUAACUGGAGGACCGAACCGACUAAUGUUGAAAAAUUAGCGGAUGACCUGUGGCUGGGGGUGAAAGGCCAAUCAAACCGGGAGAUAGCUGGUUCUCCCCGAAAGCUAUUUAGGUAGCGCCUCGUGAAUUCAUCUCCGGGGGUAGAGCACUGUUUCGGCUAGGGGGCCAUCCCGGCUUACCAACCCGAUGCAAACUGCGAAUACCGGAGAAUGUUAUCACGGGAGACACACGGCGGGUGCUAACGUCCGUCGUGAAGAGGGAAACAACCCAGACCGCCAGCUAAGGUCCCAAAGUCAUGGUUAAGUGGGAAACGAUGUGGGAAGGCCCAGACAGCCAGGAUGUUGGCUUAGAAGCAGCCAUCAUUUAAAGAAAGCGUAAUAGCUCACUGGUCGAGUCGGCCUGCGCGGAAGAUGUAACGGGGCUAAACCAUGCACCGAAGCUGCGGCAGCGACACUGUGUGUUGUUGGGUAGGGGAGCGUUC